CCUCAGGAAGCGCUAGGAGCAUCCUUCAACGGAGGUACCCAGUCGGGGUGCCAGGCGAUCCGUUACAUUGGUGGCAAGCGGUGGGAUGGCGUCCUAGUGCGAGGUAAAGCAGCUCAGAGACACCAUUCGUGGAGUUACAAAUUGAGGGCAACGCUAGCACACGUGCAGCGCCCCUGGGAGCAGAGGUAUCCAGCGACUUGGAGCAGACAAGUAUGGAAUGCUCUGGCGAUGAUUGGAUGGCCGAGGUGAGGCAGCAAGUGGCCCAGUAUGGGGAUGAUUUACCCAUGGAGGUACGCCGGGUGAUCUGGAACCAGGUCACAGCCGAGCGAAACACAAGGCUGGCCCGAGAAUUCCGGCUGGCGAAAGAGAGAGAGUAUGCUCAGCGGAAGGAGUGUUACAGCAGCCGAGUAGAGGCUGCAUCCGAGGAGGCUAGCCGUCUCCCCCUGAGGCGGCCGCAGGAACCCGAAGUAGGGGUCCUCAUAGACUGGUCCUGUGAGGAACCACAACAGGCAGGUG